UCUAGGGCGCAGCCCGCGCCCCAACCGUAUUUCCGCCCGCGCUGAGCAGUUGGGGGAGUUGGCGGUCCCAGGUCUGCUGUCUGCAUCGCCCCACACCAUCUCCCGAAAUCCUUACACCUCUACGUCUGCCCGCUGUACGAUCUGUCUUUCCGCCGCUGUCCGGCAUGGUCGGUUUCGGCAUUCGGGUGCAUUUUGCAGUCUCCCAGGGAAUUGAAAGUUAUUCCAAUAAGAGAAUUUUGUGAAGACCGAAAUAAAUGGAAGUCCGAAGGUAGGCUGACUCAGCUCCUCCGUAGCUGUGGAGGUAGAAGCAGUGCCAAGUGGUCAGUCACAUGCUGACUCUUGUCCCCUACAGGAGUGUCGUGUGACUGCUGUUCCAUGUAUAUGAGAAGCAUCCUCGGGGAGAGCCUGAGUCAUGCGGUCCCGGCCCUGCCAUCUCGGUCACACCUGGAGGUUGUUGAUUUGUCUGUUGCACCCCCGCGCCGGGAGCUUCUCGAGGGCACUGCCUCCUCUGUCUUGUUUUGCAUUGUGCCCAGUGCCGAUAUGAUGUACCUGGAGAAAAUGAACCAAAACAAGGCCGUGAUGUGGUGAGGUGGUAGGGCUCAUCCCAGGGGGUGGUCAGGGGAGCAGAUCCCUUUAACAAAGUCUGGGGCUGAGGCAUUUCCUCUCCCCCCCACCGGAAGUGCUGUUUAUUGAAAGGUAGACUUUAGUCCUGGCAGGGACAGGGCCCAUGGUUCAUCAGGGGUGGUUUUUCCUCUUCCUUUAGAUUAAGGGGCAGGGGCUAGAGCAGUAAUAGAGCUGGUCAAACACCGUAUAGUUGAGGAUGUGUAGGUAAGCAGUCCCCAGACUAGAUGGUAGACGUGGGGCCUUGCUACCACCCGGCACCCCUCUUGCUAGUUGCUGCCAGUCAGCCAUGGCACGCUUCCUGAAACCUGGCUUCAGCAUCCUAACAUAGACCUGCAGGCAACACAUCGAUCACAGUCGGCGUGCAGAAUAACACGGAUGUUACUCCUGAUCACAGGCUGGUCUGCGGGUGCCAAGGUGCCAUGGGAGACAUCAGCCAUCUUCACGUCAGUUUAUAUCAGCUGGGCCCUAGACCAUGGGGCCCUGAGGUGAACCUGCGGCGCUGCCUUCACCUUGCAGACUCAGAUGGUUCAGCGUGGUGCCCCGGAGAGGCAUGUGCUGGCUGAGGUCAGCCUUAGAUGGGAGACUGCUGAAGGAAGUCCCAAGGCCAUGAAUCAGUGACCCCCAGGAUGACUUGGGUUUCCUUUUAUUUCUCGCCAAGAUCUCAUGGUGGCGGUUGUGGACGCCCGAGGGACAGAGAGUUGAGGGGGAGGUUCCCACACGAGGCCUCCCCACUGCCUGCUCAGAGCAUCACCCAACAACUGCUCACCCUGCACAAGAGAUCAGAGGGAAAUUCUGGGGUCCGCCUCAGCUGGUUCUGCACCUUGACAGUGACACCCACAGAGGGCCUGCCCCGUGUUCCUCUGCGUGGUAUGACUUUAGUAACCACCCCUUUAAUAAAUCUUACAGGCCCUC